AGUCUUAUACGACCAGCUCCUGCUGAACUCCCCCAGGACCGGAAGGUAGCAAGGGUAGGCGGUUGAAGCGGUGCGAUAUAAG
rnacentral:SRP_RNA from 1 species